rnacentral:tRNA from 1 species
GAUAGUGUGGUGUAGUGGUUUGAGUGUUGGACUAGAAUUCAGGAGACCAGGGUUCAAAUCCCAGCCCAGCCA